rnacentral:rRNA from 1 species
CCUACGGGGGGCUGCAGUGGGGAAUAUUGGACAAUGGGGGCAACCCUGAUCCAGCCAUGCCGCGUGUGUGAAGAAGGCCCUCGGGUUGGAAAGCACUUUCAGUGAGGAAGAACGCCUGGUGGUUAAUACCCAUCAGGAAAGACGUCACUCACAGAAGAAGCACCGGCUAACUCCGUGCCAGCAGCCGCGGUAAUACGGAGGGUGCGAGCGUUAAUCGGAAUUACUGGGCGUAAAGCGCGCGUAGGUGGCUUGAUAAGCCGGUUGUGAAAGCCCCGGGCUCAACCUGGGAACGGCAUCCGGAACUGUCAAGCUAGAGUGCAGGAGAGGAAGGUAGAAUUCCCGGUGUAGCGGUGAAAUGCGUAGAGAUCGGGAGGAAUACCAGUGGCGAAGGCGGCCUUCUGGACUGACACUGACACUGAGGUGCGAAAGCGUGGGUAGCAAACAGGAUUAGAUACCCUGGUAGUC